rnacentral:rRNA from 1 species
AAUCAACGCUGGCGGCGUGCCUCAGACAUGCAAGUCGAACGAUUAAAGCUCUCUUCGGAGAGUGCGUAGAGUGGCGCACGGGUGAGUAACACGUAAGUAAUCUACCUUCGAGUGGGGAAUAACGUCCGGAAACGGACGCUAAUACCGCAUAAUGCAGCGGCAUCGUAAGAUGACAGUUGUUAAAGAUUUAUCGCUUGAAGAGGAGCUUGCGGCAGAUUGGCUAGUUGGUAAGGUAAUGGCUUACCAAGGCUACGAUCUGUAACCGGUCUUAGAGGACGGUCGGUCACACUGACACUGAAUAACGGGUCAGACUCCUACGGGAGGCAGCAGUCGGGAAUUUUGGGCAAUGGGCGAAAGCCUGACCCAGCAACGCCGCGUGAAGGAUGAAGUAUUUCGGUAUGUAAACUUCGAAAGAAUAGGAAGAAUAAAAUGACGGUACUAAUUUAUAAAGGUCCGGCUAACUACGUGCCAGCAG